UGCCCCUGGCAAAGGGCAAAGAGAUACCUUGUUGGUGGUGGUAUUCUUGUGUCAAUCAGAGGCAAGAGCACAUGACAGUUCUUUGCUUAUCCUAGCCUGACGCCUGGCUUGGUGGCCAAAGCUGUCUUAUGCCUAGGGCACAAAU